ensembl:lncRNA
UUUUCAUUCAUGAAAUCCUUUUAACUUUUGAAAAGGUUUGAUUUGGUUUUGACUUAUUGUUUCAUUUGCAUUUUACAUCUUUAUUUCAUACUUAUUUUGAUCAGUAGACCUGAAGACUGCAAGGACCAAGACUAAGCAAUCUAUUGCAGUGUGAAUUUGGGGGCAUCUCCAGAUCCUAUUGGCCAGUGAAGGAGUUGCCAGAUGUCCUUUCUAAAUGCCCAGUGAAGUCUUACGCUUCAUAUGAAAAGCUUAUAGAAAAGCUUCCUCCAAUAUUUCACAUCGGCUGGGUGCCUUUUUGGCACUGGUGGCAGUGGCUGCUAAGGAAAAAGCUACUGUGCAUAUGCAGGAAAGCAAUUUUGCAAGCUCCAGCCCAGGGCACAGCAGUGCACACUUUGUGCAGUGGACCUGUGUGUGUGCAGCAUGCAUGGAGUGACACUGAAUCUCAAGGCGUGACAUCUGAUCUCUCUGCUAUUAUCAAGGCUCCCAUUUACUACAGCCACCAUUGUCUCAAAAAUCCUAAUGACAACCUCGUUGUGUAGAAAGGCACUUGUCAAAGUAAGCACCUUGAAUGGGAGCUGGGGCAGAAAUGGUGGGUAAAGCCCAGCAAAUAAAGAGCUUUGGCUGGCACUGACCUGCGGCUGGAGGUAAAAUGAACAGGAGGAGGAGAGGUGCUGCUCAGCAUUUGUACACCAUGAGAGCAGCCUGUGACUGUACUGGCAGAAGGCAGAGAAGAGAAGAACCUACUGUCACAGAGGAGACAAUGCUGCAAAGAGAGUACACUGCUGAAAGAGAAGUGAAUGAAUUCCUCAUGAAAGGUGCUGUAUGGACAACUCCUUUUUAUCUUCACAAGUCCUGGAGAAACAGCAGUGGAUUCCCCUGCCUUACUUCACCCCUAGGCUGGUCCUCUCCAUGUGUCUCUCACAUAAGGAACUGUUUGAUUGCUCUCCAUUUCUGUUUCGAAAAUCCAAAUUUCUUGUACAAACUUUUGCAGACCACAGUUGUGGAUGUCCCUCCUGAAAUGGCACUUUCUGCUCUAUUCGUGCCAGAAGGCAAUUGGAACUUGUGUGAUUCUCCAUCCUCCUAGCACUUCAUAGAGACAUCUGACCAGAGACUGCUGAUGCACAGGCAGCUGGAAUAUGUGCUGUGGGAAUGAGUAAACAGAAGGGCCAGAAAUCCUCACUCUAGGGAACUGUGGAACUGAUACUGGAAGACUGUCAAGUCAGAAUAUCCUUAGAAUGAUAGGACAUGAGUUCAAGCCACACAUAAAUCCAGAUUUCAGAGUCUUGACCUCAGGUAAGACUCCGGAUUACAUGAAAUUUGUAAGAAAAGUACAGGAAAUCUACAGUGAUCUCAUGUAUUUAAAACCUGUUCUCAGACAAAGUAAGACAAAUUAGUUUCAACAGAAAAAAAAAAUCCUGGACAGGAUUACCAGAAUUUUGAAUGAAGAAAAUUUCAAAAAUCCAAGUUUAAGAAAUUACUUUACUUGAAAACUCUUUCAUGCUGAGGCAGGAUCUGAAUCUAAUUUUCACAGCCCUACAAAAUUAUUCUACAUAUAGAAGCUUAUCACAUACAUAAUUACCUUAUUCUAGUUUGUAUUCUAGAACAAACAUGUCUGCAUGAGACAGUUAUUCAGUAAGAAUGCUGCUUUUAUUCUUGAAUAAUUCCAUGUGCAGUCAAGCCCUCAGUCAAACCAUCACAACUCUGUAUGUAGAUGAAUUGUCAGUCUGUCUCUGCUUGCACUUACACAAAAUGUGUAUCUCUGUUACUAAAUGCAGCUGACAGAUCUGAAAACGUCACGUUUGUGGAGUAGGCAUAGCUCUUACAAGUUCCCACCCUUAUUGGCCUACUAUUUCUGUGUCCUUUGGAGGUGUUACGAACUGCAUAUCCUUCAUAUUUUGUGUUCAAUGUCAUUAGCAAACUAAUAAAUGCUAUGGAGAGAAGGAAAAGUUUUUUCUUCCCUUGUUUGCCAAAAAGCAAGAGGAUUUUUGCCAAAAGGAAGAGUUUUUGAGUGUGACAAUGCUCCAUCAACUUUAUAUAUAUGAGCCCAGGAGAAGAAAACUGAGUUGCUUUCCUUUGAGAAGGGGAAGGAAAUAAAUAUUUGUCCUAGUUCACUAAAAAGCUCUUACGUAUUAGACCUUUUAACCAUAAAGACUUUAUUUUCUUCAUGCUUGUUUUUAUCACCUAUGUUUGCCUAAUUUUGUCAUGAGUACUGUCUCAAAGCCUUAAUAAAACAUUAAUGUCCAAGCCCCAGAACUUCCACUGUUACUUUUCUAUCAUUUAUCUCUGUUACUGAUUUUAGCUCUGGUUACUUCUAAGAAAAGUAAAAUGGCAAUCUAUACAUUUCAAGGAAAGGAUGAGAUUAAUGAAUGUAUACAACUAGGACCUGCUGCUGAUGAUGUCAAAUAUUAAGAGGUGGAACUCUUAAUAUGUACUUAAAAUAGUUUGUUUUCUACUUUGUGUAGUUCUUGUAGCUCCACUUUAAUGUUCUUCCCUAAUACAGGUUUUAACAAUUCAAGUAUGGACUGAAUGGCCUUAUUAGAACCUUUUAAAUGAGUAAGUGUAGCUUUUAAUUCAGUAGCACCUAAAAGAUGUCACUAUAUGGCUACUUUCUAGCCCAUAUGAAAUUACGUGGUGCUGGCUGUUCAGGCAUGUUUAAUGUGAACUCGUCCCAGCUGUAUUCUCAGCAGAGAGCAACUCCUGAAAAGCCCAUGAAGAUGGAUCAGGGUUUUUUUCAGCAAACUGGAAGGAAGAGAUCAGUUCUGCUAUCACUUUUACAGUUUACAUGCUAUGGGCAGGAGUCUGGAUCCUUGUUUAAUGUCUUAGCAGACUGUAGGUAUCAGGCAUUACACAAACAUUCAGUGAUAACAUUUUUCAGAAUAAAAGCCCAAGACCAGCUGGUUUUCUUACUGAGGAGAUCAUUCUAGAUUUCCAAAACAGGACUAGUGAAUAGAGUUCUUCCUUUUUGAGAUAUGAUUUUGUUCUUUAAAUAUCGUGAACCGCGAGUCACUAUCACCCCCGGGGGUUCUAGAAGGUUCCCUUGUGCCUCCCCUCAGCAGCGAGGGCCCAAAGGCACGUGAGGCAUCAGCCAGGGCUACUGGAGAAGGCGAGGAUGUGCAUGUCCCCCUCCCGGGUCACUGGUGGGAGGAAACCCAGCCUGGAUGCAUCCACUGCAGCCAUCUCCCAGAAUUUACAGCUGCCUCACAAGAAUCUGCCCAAUCACCAGCUCCAUCCCAGAACGGGGCACUGAGUAACACUAAUUGGGCAAACUGAGAGAACCUGUGAGUAGUGACUUGCUCACCUGGGGAUGAUCAGCCCUCGUCCCAAGCGCGCUCCACGCCCCAAGGGCAGGCAGGAAUGGCACGAAGCCGGUGUUUGGCUGCCGGGGAAGAUGGAAGCAGCAGCCCCGUUGUCCUUGGAGAAGGAAGGGCCCUGAGGGGCAGGUGCUGCCCGGCCCUGGCUCUCCCUGGCACCUGCGCCCUGCGGGAAGGGCCCUGCGCGGGAGCAGCAGUAGCAGCAGCAUCUGCCGGGACUGCGAGCAGGUCAGUGCCUCAGCUGAACUUCCAUUACUUCUUUUCUCUCUGAGGAAUGUUUGCCAUCACAUUAACUUCUUUUGGAGAUUUUUGAGGUAUGUAUCAGGAAAAAUCCCUUUACAAAUAAUCAUCUGCUUAAGCUUUUGUUGGUUCAAAUGUUAUUCCCUUUGCUAUUGAAAGCAAACGUCAUAAAGACCUGUUUUCCUUUAAAACAAAGGAUUUGAAUUUUUAUAUCGGAGUAGCCUUUAGGUUGUUUGUUGUUUAUGUAUCUUGCAAUAUGGUAUUUCAUUUUAAGGAAGAAUUCUUUAGGUUUAUUUUGUUCAAAAAUUUAAAAGUUGAUGUGUUUGACUUGAGAUUCUAUGGGUUCUGUUAGUAACUUGUUUUCCGCGGGAAAAAGUAAGUUCUGUCAUAAUGGCUUUGCACUUCAGAAGGGAAUUCUGUAACUCUUUUAAGUGUAAUGUGAUUGUGUCUACAUUGUUGUUUUGCAACUUUCUUCUGUUGUUAAAUACCAAACUAGGGCUUCUUAAGUGUGAGAAGGAAAAAUAGCCUUUAUACUAUUGUUUACCUCCUCAUUGGUAUUAUACAGUUCUUCGCAUUAUAAAAAUGCUAUUUAAUCAUGGUCAACUUAAUUCUAUCUACCAACUCCUCCAUUGUGCAAGGCUUUGGACAGCACUCGCUGGGUUACUGAGUCCUCCCCUCCCUACUGCAGCCGUCACAUUGGAUAAUUUGUUUUUGAAGUGUGCUGUACUUUAUCUUAACAACACUUGUGUGGUUUAUUCCCACUAUUCCCAGAGGAUGGCUGUUACAGAAUGUGAUUGCUUUACAACAUUGCUAGUGAACCAUUUGCCAUUGGAACUGACUUGGGAUAAGGUCAAAACCAAUGAGCUACCACCAUAUACUUUAAAAAAAUUCCUGGCCAGCUAAAGUCCAUUUGGACUCAUGCCAAAGUUAUCUUUUAAUUUUUUUUUUCUCUCAGCUUUUUAGCUAAAAGUUAGAUGGCAAUCCUGUCCUCUCUUAGCUUUUUUUAUAGUAGACUAAAUAAAUCAAGCUUGUUUAAUCUCAUUUUAUAAAAUAAGCUUUCCAUUGCCCUCAUCUACCUAGCAGGCCUCCUCUACCUGCUCUAAUUCCAGUCAAUUUGUCAAAUGCAGGUGGCUAGAGUGAAUGCAGUAUUUCAGGUGAGCUCUUCCUAGACUUUUACACAAUGCUAUUGCUUUUCCUUGGCUCUGUUGAAAGUUGCACUAGCUGCCAUACAGGGGUGAUCCACAAUCAUUGUAUUUUAGCAGUCAUCCUAAAUUAAUAUUGAGGAAUUAUGCCAUUUAUGCUUUUUUAGCACAUAAUACUGAGAUUUGAGGUUUGUUUUUAAAUCAGAGGAAGUUUAAUGUGUUGUCAUCUACUUUCAAUAAUCC